rnacentral:misc_RNA from 1 species
GGAAGUAAAAGUCAUAACAAGGUUUCCGUGGGUGAACCUGCGGAAGGAUCAUUAUUGGAUUUUGAAACUUCAGGCUGCUGCUGGCUCUCCUCGGAGGGCAUGUGCACGCUUGUUGUCCAUUAUUUCUCCCACUGUGCACAAAUUGUAGACCUUUCAGUAGGCCUAUGUUGUUUUUCACAAUCUCUGAAUGUAAUAGAAUGGUUUUGAAUCUUGGGAAAUACAAUACAACUUUCAGCAACGGAUCUCUUGGCUCUC